rnacentral:snRNA from 1 species
GGAUGUGAGGGCGAUCUGGCUGCAACAUCUGUCACCCCAUUGAUCGCCAGGGUUGAUUCGGCUGAUCUGGCUGGCUUGGCAGGUGUCCCCUUCCUCCCUCACCGCUCCAUGUGCGUCCCUCCCGAAGCUGCGAGCUCGGUCGAAGAGGACGACCUUCCCCGAUAGAGGAGGACCGUUCUUCGGUCAAGGGUAUACCGAGUAGCUGUGCUCCCCUGCUAGAACCUCCAAACAAGCUCUAAAAUGGAAAAAGGGUUAAAUACCAACUUAACUGAACUUCAUUGCUCUGUAAU